AGUAACACGUGGGUGAACCUGCCCUCGGGACGGGAAUACCCCCGGGAAAAUGGGGCUAAUCCCCGAUAGGUGAAGAACUCUGGAAUGAGUCUCCGCCCAAAAGACGCUUAAAUCAUGCUUUUAGGCGCCGCCCAAGGAUGGGNCCGCGACCGAUCAGGUAGUUGGUGAGGCAACGGCUCACCAAGCCUUUAACCGGUGCGGGCCGUGAGAGCGGGAGCCCGGAGAUGGGCACUGAGACAAGGGCCCAGGCCCUACGGGGCGCAGCAGUCGCGAAAACUUUGCAAUACACGAAAGUGUGACAGGGCUAUCCCGAGUGCCAUCCGCUGAGGAAGGCUUUUACCCAGUCUAGAAAGCUGGGAGAAUAAGGAGAGGGCAAGCCUGGUGUCAGCCGCCGCGGUAA
rnacentral:rRNA from 1 species